ACACUCCUACGGGAGGCAGCAGUGGGGAAUUUUGGACAAUGGGCGAAAGCCUGAUCCAGCAAUGCCGCGUGUGUGAAGAAGGCCUUCGGGUUGUAAAGCACUUUUGUCCGGAAAGAAAUCCUUGGCUCUAAUACAGUCGGGGGAUGACGGUACCGGAAGAAUAAGCACCGGCUAACUACGUGCCAGCAGCCGCGGUAAUACGUAGGGUGCGAGCGUUAAUCGGAAUUACUGGGCGUAAAGCGUGCGCAGGCGGUUUGCUAAGACCGAUGUGAAAUCCCGGGGCUCAACCUGGGAACUGCAUUGGUGACUGGCAGGCUAGAGUAUGGCAGAGGGGGGUAGAAUUCCACGUGUAGCAGUGAAAUGCGUAGAGAUGUGGAGGAAUACCGAUGGCGAAGGCAGCCCCCUGGGCCAAUACUGACGCUCAUGCACGAAAGCGUGGGGAGCAAACAGGAUUAGAUACCCGGGUAGUCCCA
rnacentral:rRNA from 1 species